rnacentral:rRNA from 1 species
ACACGUGAGCAACCUGCCCCUCACUCUGGGAUAAGCGCUGGAAACGGCGUCUAAUACUGGAUACGAGUUGGAGCCGCAUGGUUACCAACUGGAAAGAUUUUUUGGUGGGGGAUGGGCUCGCGGCCUAUCAGCUUGUUGGUGAGGUAAUGGCUCACCAAGGCGUCGACGGGUAGCCGGCCUGAGAGGGUGACCGGCCACACUGGGACUGAGACACGGCCCAGACUCCUACGGGAGGCAGCAGUGGGGAAUAUUGCACAAUGGGCGGAAGCCUGAUGCAGCAACGCCGCGUGAGGGAUGACGGCCUUCGGGUUGUAAACCUCUUUUAGCAGGGAAGAAGCGAAAGUGACGGUACCUGCAGAAAAAGCACCGGCUAACUACGUGCCAGCAGCCGCGGUAAUACGUAGGGUGCAAGCGUUAUCCGGAAUUAUUGGGCGUAAAGAGCUCGUAGGCGGUUUGUCGCGUCUGCUGUGAAAUCCCGAGGCUCAACCUCGGGCCUGCAGUGGGUACGGGCAGACUAGAGUGCGGUAGGGGAGAUUGGAAUUCCUGGUGUAGCGGUGGAAUGCGCAGAUAUCAGGAGGAACACCGAUGGCGAAGGCAGAUCUCUGGGCCGUAACUGACGCUGAGGAGCGAAAGGGUGGGGAGCAAACAGGCUUAGAUACCCUGGUAGUCCACCCCGUAAACGUUGGGAACUAGUUGUGGGGUCCUUUCCACGGAUUCCGUGACGCAGCUAACGCAUUAAGUUCCCCGCCUGGGGAGUACGGCCGCAAGGCUAAAACUCAAAGGAAUUGACGGGGACCCGCACAAGCGGCGGAGCAUGCGGAUUAAUUCGAUGCAACGCGAAGAACCUUACCAAGGCUUGACAUACACCAGAACACCGUAGAAAUACGGGACUCUUUGGACACUGGUGAACAGGUGGUGCAUGGUUGUCGUCAGCUCGUGUCGUGAGAUGUUGGGUUAAGUCCCGCAACGAGCGCAACCCUCGUUCUAUGUUGCCAGCACGUAAUGGUGGGAACUCAUGGGAUACUGCCGGGGUCAACUCGGAGGAAGGUGGGGAUGACGUCAAAUCAUCAUGCCCCUUAUGUCUUGGGCUUCACGCAUGCUACAAUGGCCGGUACAAAGGGCUGCAAUACCGUGAGGUGGAGCGAAUCCCAAAAAGCCGGUCCCAGUUCGGAUUGAGGUCUGCAACUCGACCUCAUGAAGUCGGAGUCGCUAGUAAUCGCAGAUCAGCAACGCUGCGGUGAAUACGUUCCCGGGUCUUGUACACACCGCCCGUCAA